UAUAAAUUUAUGUUAAAUAAUUAAUAUAUGAUAGCUUAAAUGGAUUAAAGAGUGCAAAUAUGAUCAAUUUAAGUGUAAUAUGUACUUUAUAGUCAAAAUAUCAAUUAUAUAAUACUUUUUCUUUUCUUAAUUUUUAAAACUAGUUAAAAUUGUCCUUCAACACAAUAUCAAGUCCAAAUAAAAUUGUUUUUUGUUUUUAUUUCUUUCUCAUUCUUAGUAUUUGAUAAGAUGUGCAUUUGAUCAUUGGGUUUGUUAGCUACUACGCCAAGACUAUAAAAUUCUUAAUAUUCGAUAAGAGGUGCAUUUAAUUUUCUUGAUAAAGGUAGAGAUCAAUACUUUAAUUACACCGAGUGUUUAGUGACAAGAAGUGUGAUGAUGAUCAUUUGUUCUAUUUUAUAAACUCUUUCCAUCAUUGUAAAUCAGUUAUGUAUUUUUUUAUACGUGAUACAAUAAUUUUUUUUUUAUAAGAUUGCACGUUUCUAAGUGAUUAGUAUUUAGAUAUUAGAUGAAAUAGGCUAUGUCUUGGUUUGAAGUAUCUUUAUAGAAAUUUGUUGUUAUGAAUUGGUGCUUCUUAGAUUGAAGUAAUUCUACAUAAACUUUUAUGUUGGAGAUAGAAAAGGCAUCUAAUUAUACAUUAGGCAACUAAUCAUUAGUUGGAUGAUAUUGUAUAGGAAAAUUGUAUCCUUAGCUUGAUGUUACUCUAUGGAAUAUUGAUAUUAUGUUGGUGAUUCAUGUUGAAGCUCAAAAAACUAUCUAAUUGUAGAUCAGAUAGCUAACCUGCCAACAAAACGCUGCAACAUUUCUCAUCAGGGGAAAAGACAUGAUCUUCUUCAACAACUGCAAGUUAUUACUGAAAGCAAGCAACAUUUUUAGGAAUCAUUUUCAGGCAUGCUACUGAGCACAUAUUCGUUACUGUUCGCUUGAGGUUUCUUCCAGUUUGAGCCAACUAUCAUCUCCAAAGAGAUUUUUUCAAGAAGUUGAAAUUGGAGACAUCUGCUGAAGACCAGGACAUGGAAGAUGGAAUUUCAGGUGAUAUGUUCUAAUUUGUCUCUUCAAAUUGAGAACCUACAAGCAAGUUGGCAUAAUAUUUUACAAGAUUGCAACGUUCAUGAUCUUCUUCAACAACUGCAAACAAGGGUUGAUGAUUGACAAACACAAAAGCUACUGCAUUUUGUUGACUUAUGUUGUAAAUGCUUCUCAAGUGUUGUCUUCGUGUAUCUACAGCUACCUUUUUUUUUGGCUGUUCCAGUUGUUUCUAGCCCUUUUGAUUGUAACUACACCCACCUGGAUUGCUAUCACCUGUACCACUCAGUUGUGCAGGCUCGUGCAGCUGUCAAUUGCUGAUAUGUAUUUGACUAUUAUAGGUUUCAACAGCUUGUGUUCUUCUAGUUUUAGUUGUAGUUUUCACCUACUUGUGUUCUGGUUCUAGUUGUAGUUCUCAGCUGAUAUGUAUUUGACUGUUCUGAUUGCUACAGCCUGGACUCUUAUCACUUUUGGCUUUCAGCUGUGUAUGAUUCAGCUAUUAUUGUUUUAUAUUCUGAAGAUUCCCAGUGAAUUGUAAUUCUUUAUUUGCUUUCUUCAAUAGAAAAUAAAUAUAGCAUUUUGUCUUGUUCA